AGUGAACGCUGGCGGUAGGCCUAACACAUGCAAGUCGAACGGCCGCACAGUAAGAGCUUGCUCUUACGGGUGGCGGGUGGCGGACGGGUGAGGAAUACAUCGGAAUCUACUUUUUCGUGGGGGAUAACGUAGGGAAACUUACGCUACUACCGCAUACGACCUACGGGUGAAAGCAGGGGAUCUUCGGACCUUGCGCGACUGAAUGAGACGAUGUCGGAUUAGCUAGUUGGCGGGGUAAAGGCCCACCAAGGCGACGCUCCGUAGCUGGUCUGAGAGGAUGAUCAGCCACACUGGAACUGAGACACGGUCCAGACUCCUACGGGAGGCAGCAGUGGGGAAUAUUGGGCAAUGGGCGCAAGCCUGAUCCAGCCAUACCGCGUGGGUGAAGAAGGCCUUCGGGUUGUAAAGCCCUUUUGUUGGGAAAGAAAAGCAGCAGGUUAAUACCCCGCUGUUCUGACGGUACCCAAAGAAUAAGCACCGGCUAACUUCGUG
rnacentral:rRNA from 1 species